rnacentral:misc_RNA from 1 species
GAUGAAGAACGUAGCGAAAUGCGAUAAGUAAUGCGAAUUGCAGAAUUUCCGUGAGUCAUCGAAUCUUUGAACGCACAUUGCGCCCUCUGGUAUUCCGGGGGGCAUGCCUGUCCGAGCGUCAUUUGCAACCCUCAAGCCCGGCUUGUGUGAUGGGUGCCGUCCCCUACGGGACGCGCCCCGAAGGCAAUGGCGGCGUCGCGGUUAUCCGAUCAGCCAAAGUGUAUGGGGCUUUGUCACUCACUUUACGGCCCGGACCGGCGCCAGUCCGAAUCAAUCUUUUUUCUAAAGUUGACCUCGGAUCAGGUAGGGAUACCCGCUGAACUUAAGCAUAUCAAUAAGCGGAGGA